AUGAAAGAAAGGCAACGUACAGCCUCCAACUCCAUCUUCUCCUCCAUUUUCACUAGGGUUCAUCAUUAUCACAGGCGGCAAGGAGCUCCAUUAGAUGGGUCCAGUCCUCCAAAUGGAUCUCUGCAAAGAGUCCGGAUCGUCGAGCGGACAAGCCGGAGGGAAUUCACGGGGAAAAGGCGUACUCUAACGGCAUAGAGUCCGGAUCGUCGAGCGGACAAGCCAGAGGGAAUUCACGGGGAAAAGGCGUACUCUAAAGUUUUCAGGUUUUCUAGCAGAAGGGUGAUGAUCAAGCAUAUGUAUCCGAACCGAACACUCUAACAAACGCUUCCGCACAUGAUCUUUUGUUUUAAAAA